rnacentral:rRNA from 1 species
GUAAGUAUAUAAAGAAACUAUUACGGAUAAAUACAGCUAUAUAUUAAAGACGAGUAAGAUAAAGUGUUCUUGGAAAAAUCCAUUUUUUUAAACGAAGCGAAUUGAAAUAUCUUAGUAGCUUCAGGAAUAAAAAUCAAAUGAGAUUCCAUAAUUAGCUAUAACUGUUAUGGAAAAGCCUUUUAAGUAAAACGGAAAUAAUCUGUUUGAAUCUAGGGAAACCUUUCUCUAAGGCUAAAUAUGAUAUAUAAGCGAUAGCGAAGCAGUACCGUGAGGGAAAUUUUUGAAAUAGUAGUUUUAUAAGCAGCUCAAGUUUAAUUUAAAAGUAUAAUGAGAGCGUACCUUUUGCAUAAUGGGUCAGCAAGUUAAUGUUAGAUGCGAGACGGGUUCACAAAAGAUUAAGGGGUCAAACUUACUUACUUUUACUUUGACGCUAAAAAGAAGAGUUUUAGCAGCUUUUUGGAUUAUAAGAUAAGAGUAAACUGAGAAUGAUUACCUAAAUGAGUAAGGUAAUAUAAGAUAAUUAUUACCUGUAUAAGCGAUUAAAAUAAUGUACUUAAUACGGAAUAUUAUCACCUUGUCCUAGAUAAACCAAUUAUUAAUUAAUGAUUAAGUAUCUAAUGUUAGACCCGAAGCCUAGUGAUCUUACCAUGAUCAGGGUUAUAAAGGCCCGAACGGGUUAUCGUUGUAAAGAUAUCCGAUGAAUUGUGGUAAGUUAGUGAAAGACAAAACUGACUAGGAUAGCUGGUUUUCUGCGAAACCUAUAUAAGUAGGUAAUGUAAAUAACAUCAUAGCAGGUACAGAACUGUGAUCUCGGACAAAUUAUGUUGUUUUCUAUAUUUUUUUUCUUCGUGACGUAAUUUAAAAAAUACUAGAAGAAAAAAAAAGACGAUAGCAACAUGGUUUUGUAUACAUCGGGGAAUCGUGAAGAUUUUAUCGGCGAGAAUUUGCUCUCGGAAGGGCAAUGAUGGAUUUUGCAUAAUCGGACAUAGUACGAUAAGGUUGUAUGUCUAAAGGGAAACAGCCCAGAACAAGAGUUAAAGGUUCCAAAAUUAUUGUUAAGUGAAAAUAAGGAAGUUUUCUUCAAAUACAACCAGGAAAUAGGCUUAGAAGCGGCCAUUUUUUGAAGACCUCGUAACAGAGCACUGGUUUAACAUUAAAAGUUGAAAGCACCGAAAAUUUAACGGAUCUAAAACAAUAUACCGAAACCUUGUCUAUAAAUAAAAUAUAUACUAAAAUAGAUUUAUUUUUUUAAUAAAUUUAGCUUAAGUAUUUUAUUUAUGGGGUAGCAGAACGUUGGGCAUGUCUUAGAAUUAAUAUUUUUAAUAUUGAGUAGGUUCGGCAGAACAUGUACUACUACCAAAAACUAUAGGUGCUACACUUACUAACUAAAACAAACAAGUAGGUUGUAGGUUCAACGCUUAUUUUUCGAGGUAAAUAGAUACACUGUCGAAUAAGAUGACCCCAAGUGAGAAUGCUGGCAUGAGUAACGAAAAAGGGAUAGCCCCUCGCCUUAAGCUUAUGGUAUUUAAAUAAAGUAACGGCCUCUAAGUUUAUAAUUGUCCUAAAGGAUUAAACGAUGAGAAAAAUCUUAAGUCUUUAUAUAGGUCUAACAACAUUGUGAUAUUUUGAGUACACAAUGUUCUGGAAAAGGACCUUAAAAUGUAAUAGUACGUCAUGUAAUGUAAUGUACUGGUCGCUUAACAAGCGUAUAAAAACUUUACAUUUGACAAACCGUACCUAGAUACUACCACAAGUAAGCAAGUAGAGUAUACAAAGGCGUUUGAGUUAACAAUCAUUAAGGAACUCGGCAAAAUGACACCGUAACUUAGGGAUAAGGUGUGCCAUCCUUCUUAAGUAAUAUUAAGUUAAGGAUAGGAGGCAUAGAGUGGUGUUGUACGACUGUUUAAUUAAAACAAAGCACUUUGCAUAAGAUGACAAAUCAAAGUAUUGAGUGUGAAUUCUGCCCGAUGUUGGCUGGUUAACGAAGAUUCUUAGCCGACUAAUAUAAGCUAGGUUUUGAAGGAAACCCCAAUCAAUGGCGGCCUUACCGAUGAGGGUCCUAAGGUAGCGGAAUACCUUGGCCGUUAAAUGCGGUCUUGCAUGAAUGAUUUAACGAUACAACAGCUGUCUCAAUGAUUGGCUCAGUGAAAUUGGAAUAACUGUGCAGAUACAGUUUACCUCUAGUUAGACGAGAAGACCCUAUGCAGCUUUACUGUUUGUAGUUAUUGGAUACAAUGGAACAAGUUGUAGCGUAUAAGGUAGUUGAUAAGAUACAAUUGAAACACCUUUACUUAGUUUAUUGUAUAAGCAAUGCAACUGCCGAGAAGAAGAAGGAAGAUUUUUGUUUGCCUUUUGUUAAUAGGUAUUUGUGUAGUAUUAGUAAAGACCACAUUAGCAAUCACAUCAAAUGAUCACUAGUGUGGUUUUAGUAUAGAUGACUAUGAUAAGCUUUCCACCCGAAGUAUCAGUAUUAUAGGCGUUUAUACGUGCUUAUACCACGAGCACCGAUUUGACAACCUAGUAAUGGUCAAGCUACAAUUAAGGACCAAUGGUUGUGGGUAAAGGUUGAGAAGUUGCAAAGCUAAUCCUAUAAAGAUAUAAUAAAUAUGUUUGGAAACAUUGGCUAUUAGACAGUUUAUGCGGGGCACAGAUCCCACAAAAAGUACCUGGGUGUAUCCAAAGUUAAUUUUGUAAAUUUAUUGGCAAUAAUAAUUUGCCAAUAGAUAAAUAUAUUAUAUAGCAAAAGCUUUUGCUUUUAGCCUGUAUAAUGUAUUUUUAUUUUAAUCUGUAAUGUAUUGCUUUCAAUAUAUUCAGUUAUUUAUCUAUUAAGUUAGAUUUAUUUAUUUUUUUUAAGUAAGAUUUUAACUAUAUGGAAAAUAGAUGUAAAUAAAACACUAAGACAAUGUAGAUAAAGUGACACUAGUGUUUUAGUUUAUUUUCUUAAUAUGCUUAGCUUUUUUUUCUUCUAGUAUUUACUUUU